CCCACUCCCUCUUUUGGUAUGACCCACAAGCUUAAGAGUGGUUUUUACAUGUCAAAUGGUUGUAGAAAAAAAUCGAAAGAAGAAUAAUAUUCUGUGACACAUGAAAGUUGCCUGAAAUUCAAAUUCUGGUGUCCGUCAAUAAAGUUUUAUUGGAGCAUACCCAACCUGUUGGUUUACAUAUCCCCCAGGGCUGUUUUUGCACUCCGAUGAGAGGUGAGUGGUUGUGACACUUCAUGGCUCAUGAAGCCUAAAAUAUUUACCUCUGUCCUUUUACAGGAAAAAUUUGCCAACCUCUGAUAUGAGAUCCUGAAUGAAGAGCACUUUAGAACAAUGCCUGGCACAGGGUGUUUAGUAAACUCUGUUAUUAUUAAUAAGUGGGUAUUUAUAAACUCUUCUUCCCCUAGGAUGUGUUUAAAGGCAGUAAUUGUAGGGGCACCUGGGUGACUCAGUCAGUUAAGCAUCUGACUGUAUUUCGACUCCGGUCAUGAUCUCAGGGUUGUGGGAUCAGGCUCUGCAGUGGGCGUGGAGCCUGCUUAAGAUUUUCCUUCGCCCUCUGCCCUCUGCCUCUCUCUCUCUCUCUCUCCCCCGCCUAAAAAAAAUAAAAAAUAAAUAAAAGCAGUAAUUGUUUUUAUAUUUCAUUGCACCUAAGGCACAUUUUUAAAAUAUUUUAUCAUUCCUCGGGGCGCCUGGGUGGCUCAGUCGUUAAGCGUCUGCCUUCGGCUCAGGUCAUGAUCCCAGGGUCCUGGGAUCGAGCCCCGCAUCGGGCUCCCUGCUCUGCAGGAGGCCUGCUUCUCCCUCUCCCACUCCCCCUGCUUGUGUUCCUGCUCUCGCUGUGUCUCUCUCUGCCAAAUAAAUAAAUAAAAUCUUAAAAAAAAAAAAUUUUAUCAUUCCUCAAAGUGGAAUGGAACUUCCAAUCAGAGGCAUAUUAUAGUUAAUUGACAUAGUUAAUUGGUAGCAUUUUCUUUCCUGAUGGUGCAUAAAUUAGUGAGGGGGCCUUAGAAUUGCUGACCUCUUACAUCCAGUAAAAUACAGUACGGUAAAAUGUUUAAGGACGGGAAUUAAAACACUGCGGUCAUUCAAUUAACAAGCUUCUGACAGGGGGACACACUUAUUAAUAAAUGAGUACGACUCAGGUACUAAGUGUCAGGGUACAGACUGGGGAGGCCAAAAAAGGGACCCUUACCCAGCUAGGAGAAGGUUAUGAGGGAAAGAUGCCCAAAGGAGAGGGUGUCUACAUGGAGACAGAAGGACUGAUAAUAGAAUAGAAAUGUCUGGAUGAAAGGCCUCUGAGAGAUGGGCUUUAUUUACCAUUUCCCCCGGGAGCCUCAGUUUCCUCUCCUGUAAAAUGGGACAGCAAUAACCUCAAGAGACCGGGCGCCUGGGUGGCUCAGUUGGUUAAGCGACUGCCUUCAGCUCAGGUCAUGAUCCUGGAGUCCCGGGAUCAAGCCCCGAGUUGGGCUCCCUGCUCACUGGGGAGCCUGCUUCUCCCUCUGACCCUCCUCCCUCUCAUGCUCUCUGUCUCUCAUUCUCUCUCUCGCAAAUAAAUAAAAUCUUAAAAAAAAAAGUCUGGGGCGCCUGGGUGGCUCAGUUGGUUAAGCGACUACCUUCAGCUCAGGUCAUGAUCCUGGAGUCCCGGGAUCGAGUCCCGCAUCGGGCUCCCUGCUUGGCAGGGAGUCUGCUUCUCCCUCUGACCCUCCUCCCUCUCACGCUGUCUCUCAUUCUCUCUCUCUCUCUCAAAUAAAUAAAUAAAAUCUAAAAAAAAUAAAAUAAAAAAAAUAACCUCAAGAGACCAACUCUCAGAUUUUCUGUGGGACCAGAUGAAGCCCCAGUAUCUUGUGUGAAGUCUCCAUGGCUGACCAUUUCUGUCUCUCCCACUAGCUUGGAAGCAGGGACAUGGCUUCUUGCCUCUCUUGGUCCCCGGUACAAACCUCAAAGCAGGUUUGUUGAACGAACCCAUGAAGAUGAGCCCAGGAGCCCAGGAGAGGGACCAGGAAGUAGCAGGGCCUCCAUGACUCAGAUAGGCUUGUCCCUGAACCAAGGACACAGCCUGCCAACAUAGCCCUGAGCCACGCCCUGGGCUGCCAGGGGGACUGACGCCACAGUGAGAAAUGACACCUUUCUGUUGUAAUUUCUUUGAGACCAGUAUGAAUUGAGACAUAAUUUCCUUUUCAUAAUUAGAAAACACUAAUUAAUGGUAGAGGGAGCAAAUGAGAUCAUGGUUGGUCUCUUCCAAACUUCCCUAAGGAAGGAGGGGCAAGGGUUAUCUGCAGUGUGUUCAAAGUCAUAGGCGAAGACUCAAGAAUUGUGGAUCGCAGUUUUGCCUUUGUGGUUUUUCAUCAUGAAAAGUGGGGUCCAGGCACAUGGCCUCAAGGUGAACUCCGGGUGAAGUAGAAGCCGUCCGUGAAAGCAGCCAGCUCAGCUGAGGCGACAGAAAGCAGCACUGUCGGAUUUACAAGCAGAGACCCCUGGCAACAUUAGCUCCCGUGAUGCGUACUGUAUGGCAGGCCCAGCUCCUACUCCAGCUGCUAGGACCAGCCCAGCACAGUGGAACUAGUCCUGGUCCACAUUGGAAAUGCCUGGGAUCUAAAAUCCUGACACCUGGGUCCCAUCCCCAGAACUUCUGAUGUAACCAGCCUCAGGUGGGGGCCUGGGCAUGGGAACGCUUAAAAUCAUCCCAAGGGAGGCACCUGGGUGGCUCAGUUGGUUAAGCGACUGCCUUCAGCUCAGGUCAUGACCCCAGGGUCCUGGGAUCGAGUCCCACAGCAGGCUCCCCCUGCUCUGCGGGGAGCCUGCUUCUCCCUCUGCCUCUGCCUCUGCCUGCCACUCCCCUGCUUGUGCUCUCUCUCUCUCUCUCUCUGUCAAAUAAAUAAAUAAAAUCUUUAAAAAAAUAAAAUAAAAUCAUCCCAAGGGUUCUUAUGUUUAAAAAGUAAAAGUACUGGGGCGCCUGGGUGGCUCAGUCGUUAAGCAUCUGCCUUCAGCUCAGGUCAUGAUCCCGGGGUCCUGGGAUCGAGCCCCGCAUCGGGCUCCCUGCUCCGCGGGAAGCCUGCUUCUCCCUCUCCUGCUUCCCCUGCUUGUGUUCCUCUCUCGCUGUGUCUCUCUCUGUCAAAUAAAUAAAUAAAAUCUUUAAAAAAAAAAAAGUAAAAGUACUGACCUGAAGGAUUAUCUUUAACUUCCAGCAUGUUGUUGACAGAAAAAGCAAGCUGAGGAAUCUGCACAGCGGUUGGCACUUAGUAGGUGCUCAAUAUAUGGUCACUGAAUAAUUGAAGUAUAUAGAGUAGCUUCCCUGCUUUUUUUUUUUUUUUUUUUAAAGGCUACGUAUGUGUGGGGGCCUGUAAUCAAUCACACAGGAAAACCUGGGAGGCCCCGGCCAUGCACACAGAUCCUUCUGAAAGAUGGAUGGAG